AUGCCGGCGCGCAAAGCGCCCGGACCGGACGGCUUCACUGCAGAGUUUCUGCGCGCUUGCUGGAGCAUCAGCCAGCACGACAUUUGGAGCGUUUUCAAGCUGCUGUACACACUGCGAGGGUGCGGGUUUAGUAAGCUCAACCAAGCGCUGCUUACCCUGCUGCCCAAACACGCGGAUGCUCACAAGCUCGGCGACUACCGACCGAUCUGCUUGAUCCACAUGGUGGCCAAGAUCUUCGCGAAGGUCCUGUCUUUGUGA
rnacentral:rRNA from 1 species